GUUAAAAAUCUUUUUUUAUUUAUUUAAGGCUUCAAAUAUAUCAUUUAUUAGCCAACAGUGGUUUACAAAAUUAGUUUAUAUAUAUAUGCUCCAUUGUUUUAGAUGUUCGAGAUCGGCUAUCUUGAUGAAGUCUAAUAUUCUCUUUUCUUCUCCAUUGUUGAAUGCUUCUUUGAGUGAGCUUGUGUUUAAAAAUUAUUCUGCUGCAUAAACCACGUUUUUUAAAUUUUGUCUAUUGAUAAAAUUCGUUAGGUUUCACCGGUCACAAAAUGUGUUACAACAAAUUUUGUCGGUUAGACGGCGACUUGUCAAUUGUCAUAUCCCCUCCAGAAUUAUUAUUUCUCCUCGUUAAACCAUCAGCGCAGUGAUUAGGACAGCAUGACAUGUUAUCAUUAUUAUCGUAGAUUCGUAGCCGUUAAAGUUAAGUUUUAAGUUGUCAUUGCUGUCCUUGUAUCGUUUGCCCUACAUAAUUAAUCUCUUUCUAUUAUUUUGCAAUAUUAGGAGGUGGUAAGUCAUCUAUAAAGAAUGCAAAUUAAUUAUUAAACGAAUAUCUUCACC